GGAAGGGUAGGUUACAUGACAGCCAGACAAGGCAGUGUAUGAAUCAAACACGUUUGCAUAUGAAUGGAGUGGAGAUUAGCGGUCUUCCUGAUCUGUAAGUGGCUGUGCAAAGUUGCUGGAUAUUGGUGUAAACUGGAACAAGCUGUUGUACAUGUCAAUCCAUAGCAUCCCACACAUGCAAUUGGUGACAAAAAAAAAAAUGUCAUCCAUUUUACCAGGUAAGUUGACAGAACACAUUCUCAUUUACAGCAACAACCUGGGGAAUAGUUAUAGGAGGGGGAUGAAUGAGCCGAUUGGAAUCAUCCCCGAUUGGGGAUGAUUAGGUGACCGUGGUGGUUUGAGAAUUUAGCCAGGACACCCCUACAAUAAGUGCCAUGGGAUCUUUAGAGUCAGGACACCCGUUUAACAUCCCAUCUGAAAGACAGCACCGGACACAGAGCAGUGUCCCCAAUCACUGCCCUGGGGUAUUGGGAUAUUUUUUAGACCAAAGAUAAGAGUGCCUCCUACUGGCUCUCCAACACCACUUCCAGCAGCAUCUGGUCUCCCAUCCAGGGACUGACCAGGACCAACCCUGCUUAGCUUCAGAAGCAAGCCAUCAGUGGUAUGCAGGGUGGUAUGCUGCUGGCUCUAAAUGGCAGGUUAGUAUGCAGGCCAUGAAAGAACUGGGACAGUUUCAGCUUCCAGGAAUUGUGCACAGAUCCUUACAUUUUAGAGUGGCCUUUUAUUGUCCCAAGCACAAGGUGCAGCUGUGUAAGGAUCAUGCAGUUUAAUUAAUCAACUUCUUGAUAUACCAACCCUGUCAGGUGGAUUGAUUAUCUUGGAAAAAGAGAAAUGCAAACUAAAAGGGAUAUAAACAUAUUUGUGCACAAAAUUUGAGAGAAAUAAGCUUUUUGUGUGUAUAGAACAUUUCUGGGAUUUUUUUUCAGCUCAUGAAACAUUUGACCAACACUUCACAUGUUGUGUUUACAUUUGUGUUGAUACUUUUUGCAUUAACUCUUGACUCAUCACAUACGCUGCUGUUACUGGUUAUGAUCUAUCCUGUUGCCUAGUCACUUUAUCCCUACCUAUAUGUACAUAUCUACCUCUUACCUUGUACCCUUGCAAAUCGACUCAGUACUGGUACUGUGUGUAUAUAGCUAUGUUAUCAGUGACUCAGUACUGGUACACCGUGUAUACAGCCAUGUUAUCAGUGACUCAGUACUG
ensembl:lncRNA